UCUCUCUUUGAUAUUGGAAUAAUUUCUACUUAUAUGCAACACCACUGAGUAGAUGCAUAUGAAAAUACAUUCACGUAAAAAUGCCUUUGGUAUGAUGAAUUCUGUGAUUCUGCUCCAGUUCUGAUUGUAUCUUAUGAAUAAAAGUUCCUGGGUGAGGACUCAGCCGACAGCUGUGCUGAUGAUGUACGAGGCAGGGCUGGCCCUCGUUCCCAUUUCCACGCUUGCGACUGCCCCAGAGGGCUUAGCGAGGUGGUUUUGAUGUGCAGUUAAGACUGAAAACAGCCAUCUCUGGCAACUCCACUCAGACCUUCAUGCGACAGGGAAAUGCUUUGGAGAUGAAAUUCCCACGUGAAAGAUGUUCUUCCAGCACCAGAAGCAAAGGAAAUUCCUCUUACCAAGGAUGAGAAGUGGAGACCUAGAGAAUUCUACACAAACAGACCUUGUUAAAAUUACUCUUUGCUUCCUCUGGCCUCUCCCCACCUAGUGUAGUUACUUUUUAAUAAUUGCUUCUCUUUGUUCAACCUACUAUCAAAGCCACUUCUUCGGGUCUUCACUCCUUAUGAAGGUUCCCGUGUUAGGUAAAGCUUAUACAAAUGUGUGUGCUUUUCUCCUGUUAAUCUGUUUGAUGUCAAUUUAAUUCUCAUGUCCAGCUGAAAAGCCCUAAGAUGGUAGAAGCAACAAUUUGCAUCUCUUACAAUGCUGAUGUAACCACUACCACAAUCAAGACAUAGGACAUUUCCAGAAAGUUCCUUCGUCCCUUUGCAGUUAGCCUCUAUGCUCCUCUAACCCCAUCUCAGGAAACCAAUGAUUUGCUUCCUGUCAUCAGAGAUGAGUUUUGGGAUUAUACUCUAUGCAACGUUUUGUGUCUGGCUUUUUUUGAACAGAAUAAUGUGUUUGAGAUUUAUCCAUGUUGUAUGUAUCAAUAGUUCAUUCUUUUUAUUGCUAAGCAGUAAUCUAGUCUCUGAAUAUGGUACUACUUAUUUAUCUAUUUACCUCUUGGUGAGCAUUUACUACUUAAUUCUGGUAUCAAUAUUUUUUUUGGUACUUCUCUCUGCAUUUUUUCUCUCCUAGAUAGUUUACAGUGAGAACAGGGAAGGUGAUAUGUCACCAGAGCCCCAAUUUUUCUAAGAAUUCCAGGGUUGGGUUCAAGUAACAUAAUUAGUAGUAAUUUGGCACCUGGUCAAAUUCUUCUCCAUGAUAUAAAAUGGAAUCACGUAGCUAUACCAUUUGUUUUCCUAAGCGCUCAGAGCUGUUGGUUUAUGUGAACUCAUAGACACUGCUCACCCCAGGCAGUUUCAUUGAUUCUGGGUUGCUAUUUAUUCCA